rnacentral:rRNA from 1 species
UACGGAGGGGGCUAGCGUUGUUCGGAAUUACUGGGCGUAAAGCGCACGUAGGCGGCUUUGUAAGUUAGAGGUGAAAGCCCAGGGCUUAACCCUGGAAUUGCCUUUAAGACUGCAUCGCUAGAAUCGUGGAGAGGUGAGUGGAAUUCCGAGUGUAGAGGUGAAAAUUCGUAGAUAUUCGGAAGAACACCAGUGGCGAAGGCGACUCACUGGACACGUAUUGACGCUGAGGUGCGAAAGCG